UACGUAGGGUGCAAGCGUUGUCCGGAAUUAUUGGGCGUAAAGGGCUCGUAGGCGGUCUGUCACGUCGGGAGUGAAAACUCAGGGCUUAACCCUGAGCCUGCUUCCGAUACGGGCAGACUAGAGGUAUGCAGGGGAGAACGGAAUUCCUGGUGUAGCGGUGAAAUGCGCAGAUAUCAGGAGGAACACCAGUGGCGAAGGCGGCCACCUGGCUCGGUACUGACGCUCAGGUUCGAAAGCGUGGGGAGCAAACAGG
rnacentral:rRNA from 1 species